rnacentral:tRNA from 1 species
GCCGAAGUGGCGGAAUUGGCAGACGCACACGACUCAAAAUCGUGCGGGGAAACCCAUGUCGGUUCGAGUCCGACCUUCGGCA